CCCUGGUUAACUAACUGGUAAAGUAGCCGAUUUAUAGUCGGAUAUAUGUGGGUUCGAAUCCCUCACCAGGGAC
rnacentral:tRNA from 2 species